GUCAAAAAGUGUUUCAGUAACAGGGCGGUGGGGCCCCUUUUAUCCAUGUCAAGUCUGUUUUUAUCAUUUCUAUAGAUAUUGUUUGUAGGGGAUAGAGAGUUUUGGGACAAAGGCGACUGUUUAAAAUAAGCAACAGGAAAAAGUACACGGUUUGGUGCAAAACCGCUGAAAUGUCUCAGAGUGCAUUUCCACUUGCUGGUUUCGAAUGUUCUUUUGUUUUGAUCGUCACAAUUGCUCGUGCUUAAACUCCCUACUGACAUUGACAAUAGGAGAUAUGGACGGUCAGACAGAUAGACGGAUGGCCACGGCCGGCGAUACAAAUGUUUUUGGUGGGGGACAUGUUUUGCAAAGGACAAGAAUACAAAAAGGGGAAAAUGUGGUGUAAUCCAACUGGCAGCACAAGUGCCUGGUCAAACAGAAAUGAUGUCUCGUGUAACGAUGGCCACGCAUGUACACGCGCGGAUACGUGCAGGAAUGGGAUAUGCACUAGCACGCCAUUCACGUGUAACUCGCACUGUCAGAAAUGUAACGGGAACUCGUGCAGCCAGAAACCUGGCUUCGGAUAUGUCGCCACAGGGAGCCCACUCAACUCAGCGCAUUGUUUAUUCCGCAUGUGCUUUGAACUUCGUUUGUGAAUAUCAAUUAGGUCACGGAGUCUUUAAUAAAACUUCUUCCAAAUA